NNNUCAACAACGGAUCUCUUGGUUCCGGCAUCGAUGAAGACCGCAGCGAAAUGCGAUAAGUAAUGUGAAUUGCAGAAUCCAGUGAAUCAUCGAAUUGUUGAACGCACAUUGCGCCCCCCGGCAUUCCGGGGGGCA
rnacentral:rRNA from 1 species